rnacentral:rRNA from 1 species
UACGUAGGUGGCAAGCGUUGUUCGGAAUUAUUGGGCGUAAAGAGCUCGUAGGCGGUCUGUCGCGUCUGCUGUGAAAUCCCGAGGCUCAACCUCGGGCCUGCAGUGGGUACGGGCAGACUAGAGUGCGGUAGGGGAGAUUGGAAUUCCUGGUGUAGCGGUGGAAUGCGCAGAUAUCAGGAGGAACACCGAUGGCGAAGGCAGAUCUCUGGGCCGUAACUGACGCUGAGGAGCGAAAGCGUGGGGAGCGAACAGG